CAGCAGCCGCGGUAAAACGAAGGGGGCUAGCGUUGUUCGGAUUUACUGGGCGUAAAGGGUGCGUAGGCGGACUGAUAAGUCAGGGGUGAAAUCCCAAGGCUCAACCUUGGAACUGCCUUUGAUACUGUUAGUCUUGAGUUCGAGAGAGGUGAGUGGAACUGCGAGUGUAGAGGUGAAAUUCGUAGAUAUUCGCAAGAACACCAGUGGCGAAGGCGGCUCACUGGCUCGAAACUGACGCUGAGGCACGAAAGCGUGGGGAGCAAACAGGAUUAGAGACCCGAGUAGUCCCUGUCUCUUAUAC
rnacentral:rRNA from 1 species